ACUCAAAUGAAUAGACGGGGGCCCGCACAAGCGGUGGAGUAUGUGGUUUAAUUCGAAGCAACGCGAAGAACCUUACCUAGCCUUGACAUCCUGUGACAGCUUCAGAGAUGAAGUCUUCCCUUCGGGGACACAGAGACAGGUGCUGCAUGGCUGUCGUCAGCUCGUGUUGUGAAAUGUUCGGUUAAGUCCGGCAACGAGCGCAACCCCUGUCCUUAGUUACCAUCAUUAAGUUGGGGACUCUAGGGAGACUGCCGGUGUUAAGCCGGAGGAAGGCGGGGAUGACGUCAAGUCCUCAUGGCCCUUACGGCUAGGGCUACACACGUACUACAAUGGUAGAGACAAGCCGCUGCAAGAUCGAGAGAUCAAGCUAAUCGGUAAAACACUAUCUCAGUCCGGAUUGAGGUCUGCAACUCGACCUCAUGAAGUUGGAAUCGCUAGUAAUCGUGGAUCAGCACGCCACGGUGAAUACGUUCCCGGGCCUUGUACACACCGCCCGU
rnacentral:rRNA from 1 species